AUGAAUUCUUCCUCUAAACGGACCCUCGCGAUUUCUCAUCAUGCUCUCUCUCGGUUGGAGCAGGGUAAUUGUAUCAGAAUGGACAACUGCAGUUUUGCUUUUUCUUGGACUGUUUUUUGUGGUUUUAUUCAAGGAUGUUGUGGUGGUUUAUGGACAGUUUUGUUUUAUGAUGCAGGGCUGCACAUGACUGCUUUGAAAGUUUUGCAGGAUGAUGCAGGGAGGUUUGGUGGCUUUGAAAUAUGGUUUGAGGUUUACAAAAUAAGGCAAAGGCAAGACAUAUGGUCCAUGUUGGCACAAGAUAUUUUGAAGGCUUGA